GACGAACGCUGGCGGCGUGCUUAACACAUGCAAGUCGAGCGGUAAGGCCCUUCGGGGUACACGAGCGGGGAACGGGUGAGUAACACGUGAGUAAUCUGCCCAUCACUUAGGUAUAACUCCGGGAAACCGGUGCUAAUACCGCACAUGACCACUACAGGCAUCAGAUGGGGGUGGAAAGUUCCGGCGGAGUUGGAUAGGCUCGCGGACUAUCAGCUAGUUGGUGGGGUAGUGGCCUAAGAAGCCUUCGACGGGUAGCCGACCUGAGAGGGUGACCGGCCACACGGGUACUGAGAGACGGCCCAGUCGCCUACGGUAGGCAGCGGUCGGGAAUAUGGGACAAUGGGCGCGAGCCUGAGCCAGCAACGCCGCGUGUGGGAUGACGGUCUUCGGGUUGUAAACCGCUUUCAGCAGGGACGAAGCGGAAGUGACGGUACCUACAGAAGAAGCACCGGCUAACUACGUG
rnacentral:rRNA from 1 species